GGCCGAGCCUCGUUCGUUCCUCUUUUCAACCCUCCGACGGUAGAUGGCGCUGAUGAGCGCCACUGAACCAUAUGCGCUGCACCCCGAAGUUAGCGACAGAAAAAGACAACAGGAGAAGAAACGGUCACUACUUCAAGAAGUCUGAUAAGAAGCUGAGCUGAGACUAGAUGGUGAAAUUCGUACGCAAGCUAUGUUCCAAGUUUAUGGUUCCAGCAGCUCUGCAGUGCCAUGAGGAGCCUUGUGAAAUUGCCUUUAAAGAAAAGGCAAACCAUUUACCAGGAAGAAAGUUGAACAUUGGGUUCACAACCAGGGCUAA